rnacentral:rRNA from 1 species
UACGUAGGGGGCAAGCGUUGUCCGGAUUUAUUGGGCGUAAAGAGCGUGUAGGCGGCCAGGUAGGUCCGUUGUGAAAACUGGAGGCUUAACCUCCAGCUGUCGGCGGAAACCAUCUGGCUAGAGUCCGGAAGAGGAGAAUGGAAUUCCCGGUGUAGCGGUGAAAUGCGCAGAUAUCGGGAAGAACACCCGUGGCGAAGGCGGUUCUCUGGGACGGUACUGACACUGAGGCACGAAAGCGUGGGGAUCAAACAGG